rnacentral:rRNA from 1 species
UACAGAGGGGGCAAGCGUUGUUCGGAAUUACUGGGCGUAAAGGGUGCGUAGGCGGCCUGCUAAGUCGAACGUGAAAUCCCCGAGCUCAACUCGGGAACUGCGUCCGAUACUGACAGGCUUGAAUCCGGGAGAGGGAUGCGGAAUUCCAGGUGUAGCGGUGAAAUGCGUAGAUAUCAGGAAGAACACCCGUGGCGAAAGCGGCUCUCUGGAACGGUACUGACGCUGAGACGCGAAAGCGUGGGGAGCGAACAGG